rnacentral:misc_RNA from 1 species
GAGAGAGAGAGAGAGAGAGACGUGGCACAGGAACUACAAAACCCAGACUCCGAACUCAAAGAACAGCGAGACCCUGAACUCGUGAAUUGUAACCCACCUACAAAUCAAAAUAAAGAAAUAGCAGAAGCCAAAACCUUGCCGGUGAACCACUCCAGGCUCCCCAAACUUAAAGGCAGGCAAGGACCCGUCAACAGUUAUACCACAAGACCAAAUUCCAAUAAAGCUAUCAACUUUUCCACACAGAAACCAGAAUCCGAGGAGAGUGAAACAAGGAAAGCAAAAGGCACAGUAACCCAGAUCACGAUAC